rnacentral:rRNA from 1 species
ACUCAAAUGAAUAGACGGGGGCCCGCACAAGCGGUGGAGUAUGUGGUUUAAUUCGACGCUACGCGAAGAACCUUACCAACCUUUGACAUGGGAAGUAUGAGGCCCAGAGAUGGGCUUCUUCAGUUCGGCUGGCUUCCACACAGGUGCUGCAUGGCUGUCGUCAGCUCGUGUCGUGAGAUGUUGGGUUAAGUCCCGCAACGAGCGCAACCCUCAUCUUUAGUUGCCAUCAGUUCGGCUGGGCACUCUAGAGAAACCGCCGGUGACAAGCCGGAGGAAGGCGGGGAUGACGUCAAGUCCUCAUGGCCCUUACAGGUUGGGCUACACACGUACUACAAUGGCAGUGACAAUGGGAAGCGAUCCCGCAAGGGUGAGCCAACCUCCAAAAGCUGCCUCAGUUCGGAUUGUCCUCUGCAACUCGAGGGCAUGAAGCUGGAAUCGCUAGUAAUCGCGUAACAGCAUGACGCGGUGAAUACGUUCCCGGGCCUUGUACACACCGCCCGU